AUUGAACGCUGGCGGCAGGCCUAACACAUGCAAGUCGAACGAGUGGCGGACGGGUGAGUAAUGUCUGGGAAACUUCCUGAUGGAGGGGGAUAUCUACUGGAAACGGUAGCUAAUACCGUAUACCAUCGGAUGUGCCCAGAUGGCAUUAGCUAGUAGGUGGGGGAAAGGCUCACGUAGGCGACGAACCCUAGCUGGUCUGAGAGGAGGACCAGGCACACUGGAACUGAGACGCGGUCCAGACUCCGAAGGGAGGCAGCAGUGGGUAAUAUUGAACAAUGGGCGAAAGCCUGAGGAAGCCAGUCCGAGGGUAUGAAGAAGGCCUUCGGGUUGUAAAGUACUUUAAGCGGGGAGGCGUUACCCGCAGAAGAAGCACAGGCUAACUCCGUGCCAGCGGCCGCGGUAAUUC
rnacentral:rRNA from 1 species